UACCACCUACGGGGGGCAGCAGUGGGGAAUAUUGCACAAUGGGGGAAACCCUGAUGCAGCGAUGCCGCGUGGAGGAAGAAGGUUUUCGGAUUGUAAACUCCUUUUAUCAGGGACGAUAAUGACGGUACCUGAAGAAAAAGCUCCGGCUAACUACGUGCCAGCAGCCGCGGUAAUACGUAGGGAGCGAGCGUUGUCCGGAAUUACUGGGUGUAAGGGGAGUGUAGGCGGGAAAGCAAGGCAGAAGUGAAAACUAUGGGCUUAACCCAUAGCCUGCUUUUGAAACUGUUUUUCUUGAGUGAAGUAGG
rnacentral:rRNA from 1 species